CCCUUAGAUGUUCUGGGCCGCACGCGCGCUACACUGAUUCAUGCAACAAGUUUUGUCCUUGGCUGAUAGGCCUGGGUAAUCUUUGAACGUGAAUCGUGAUGGGGAUAGAUGAUUGCAAUUAUUCAUCUUCAACGAGGAAUUCCUAGUAAACGCAAGUCAUCAGCUUGCAUUGAUUACGUCCCUGCCCUUUGUACACACCGCUCGUCGCACCUACCGAUUGAAUGGUCCGGUGAAAUCUUCGGAUCUGAGAGAUGUCUGAUUAAUUUCGGACGCCUUUUGGAAAAGUUGCUUAAACCUUACCAUUUAGAGGAAGGUGAAGUCGUAACA
rnacentral:rRNA from 1 species